rnacentral:miRNA from 1 species
UGGGGCAGGAGAAUCGCUUGAACCUGGGAAGUGGAGGUUGCAGUGAGCCGAGAUUGCGCCACUGCACUUCAGCCUGGGUGACAGAGACUCCAUCUCAAAAAAAAAACAA